AAACCAGCACCUCAAGUGGUCAGGAGGUUUAUUGGGCCUAAAGCAUCCGUAGCCUGAUCUAUAAGUUUCCGGCUAAAUCCACAUGCUCAACAUUUGGGCUGCCGGAAAAACUGUAGAUCUAGGGAGUGGGAGAGGUAGACGGUACUCGAUAGGAAGGGGUAAAAUCCUUUGAUCUAUUGAUGACCACCAGUGGCGAAGGCGGUCUACCAGAACACGUUCGACGGUGAGGGAUGAAAGCUGGGGGAGCAAACCGGAUUAGAAACCCCGGUAGUCC
rnacentral:rRNA from 1 species